GACGAACGCUGGCGGCGUGCUUAACACAUGCAAGUCGAACGAUGAUGCUGGAGCUUGCUCCAGUUGAUUAGUGGCGAACGGGUGAGUAACACGUGAGCAAUCUGCCCUUGACUCUGGGAUAACUGCGGGAAACUGUAGCUAAUACCGGAUACUUUCACCGGAAGGCAUCUUCUGGUGAUGAAAGAAUUUCGGUCAGGGAUGAGCUCGCGGCCUAUCAGCUUGUUGGUGAGGUAACGGCUCACCAAGGCGACGACGGGUAACCGGCCUGAGAGGGUGACCGGUCACACUGGGACUGAGACACGGCCCAGACUCCUACGGGAGGCAGCAGUGGGGAAUAUUGCACAAUGGGCGCAAGCCUGAUGCAGCAACGCCGCGUGAGGGAUGAAGGCCUUCGGGUUGUAAACCUCUUUUAGCAGGGAAGAAGCGAAAGUGACGGUACCUGCAGAAAAAGCACCGGCUAACUACGUGCCAGCAGCCGCCGCAG
rnacentral:rRNA from 1 species